AUGGCGACGGCACCAUCCUUUUAUACAGCAUCUCCCACACCGAUAAAGGCCGCAAGGCCAGCUUUAGGGCGUCGCUCCUGCGUCCCGGCGAUGCAAAGUGGACGCUCGUCAAGAGGACGCUUGAGACCCCCAGCAGGAAGGUUGAGUCCUGCGCCGCGUACCACCGAGGCAAGAUCGUUGUCACUGUCGAGGGUACGCAGGGACAAGGGUUCUUCUACACGCACCAAUACAGCCACGUGUUGGAAUCCCGCGGCGAGCUGCUGUGGGUAUCGGUCGCCGGCAAUGGUGUCACUUCUCAGUGCGGGGCUCCUUGUCUCUAUGUGUUCGUGUACACGCUGGAGGAGGAGGAAUCAACGCCGGAGAAGAUGCGGUGGGUGA
rnacentral:rRNA from 1 species